rnacentral:rRNA from 1 species
AUUGAACGCUGGCGGCAGGCCUAACACAUGCAAGUCGAGCGGAUGAAGGGAGCUUGCUCCUGGAUUCAGCGGCGGGCGGGUGAGUAAUGCCUAGGAAUCUGCCUGGUAGUGGGGGAUAACGUCCGGAAACGGGCGCUAAUACCGCAUACGUCCUGAGGGAGAAAGUGGGGGAUCUUCGGACCUCACGCUAUCAGAUGAGCCUAGGUCGGAUUAGCUAGUUGGUGGGGUAAAGGCCUACCAAGGCGACGAUCCGUAACUGGUCUGAGAGGAUGAUCAGUCACACUGGAACUGAGACACGGUCCAGACUCCUACGGGAGGCAGCAGUGGGGAAUAUUGGACAAUGGGCGAAAGCCUGAUCCAGCCAUGCCGCGUGUGUGAAGAGGGUCUUCGGAUUGUAAAGCACUUUAAGUUGGGAGGAAGGGCAGUAAGUUAAUACCUUGCUGUUUUGACGUUACCAACAGAAUAAGCACCGGCUAACUUCGUG